UUGUACGCUGGCGGCAGGCCUAACACAUGCAAGUCGAGCGGAUGACGGGAGCUUGCUCCUUGAUUCAGCGGCGGACAGGUGAGUAAUGCCUAGGAAUCUGCCUGGUAGUGGGGGACAACGUUUCGAAAGGAACGCUAAUACCGCAUACGUCCUACGGGAGAAAGCAGGGGACCUUCGGGCCUUGCGCUAUCAGAUGAGCCUAGGUCGGAUUAGCUAGUUGGUGGGGUAAUGGCUCACCAAGGCGACGAUCCGUAACUGGUCUGAGAGGAUGAUCAGUGACACUGGAACUGGGACACGGUCCAGACUCCUACGGGAGGCAGCAGUGGGGAAUAUUGGACAAUGGGCGAAAGCCUGAUCCAGCCAUGCCGCGUGUGUGAAGAAGGUCUUCGGAUUGUAAAGCACUUUAAGUUGGGAGGAAGGGCAGUAAGUUAAUACCUUGCUGUUUUGACGUUACCGACAGAAUAAGCACCGGCUAACUCUGUGCCAGCAGCCGCGGUAA
rnacentral:rRNA from 1 species